rnacentral:rRNA from 1 species
GAUGAACGCUAGCGGCAGGCCUCAUACAUGCAAGUCGAGGGGCAGCGGGACACUUCGGUGUUGCCGGCGACCGGCGGACGGGUGCGUAAUGCGCAUGCAAUCUACUUUACACUGGGGAAUAGCCUCCGGAAACGGGAAUUAAUACCCCAUAUAAUCUUAUUAGCGCAUGUUAAAAAGAUGAAAGCUCCGGCGGUGUAAAAUGAGCGUGCGUCCUAUUAGGUAGUUGGUGAGGUAAUGGCUCACCAAGGCUACGAUGGGUAGGGGUUCUUAGUGGAAGGUCCCCCACACUGGCACUGAGAUACGGGCCAGACUCCUACGGGAGGCAGCAGUAGGGAAUAUUGGUCAAUGGGCGCAAGCCUGAACCAGCCAUGCCGCGUGCAGGAUGAAGGCUCUCUGAGUUGUAAACUGCUUUUGUACAGGAGCAAAAAAAUCCCUGCGGGGGUUCUUGAGAGUACUGUAAGAAUAAGCACCGGCUAAUUCCGUGCCAGCAGCCGCGGUAAUACGGGAGGUGCAAGCGUUAUCCGCUUUUAUGGGGUUUAAAGGGUGCGUAGGCGGCUUAUUAAGUCAGUUGUGAAAUCCUAGUGCUUAACGCUAGAACUGCGAUUGAUACUAUUAGGCUUGAGUUAAGAAGAGGUAA